CCGGGUCAGCCAAAUCCAGGAUCAGUGAAAAAAUGACUUGUUCAUCUGUUCUGGAAUGAGAUCUUUCUUCCCACCAUUCUUAGUUAUAAAGAUAUCUUUUGUGUGGUUGUCGCUAAAUUUAAGCCCAGGCUGAGCGUAUUUAUUUGUGCACUAUCUACAUGCAUUUUAUGCAUCAGCAGUGCAUAGUGGUAGGCUGCACGCACAAUUAGGGCUUUAUGACUUUUGAAGUCACCUAAUACAAAGAUUUAUGUAUUUGCAGCAAUAAAAACCUGUGAUGGGGAUGGAUGUUUUGCAGACCUACAGCCCGAUUCUCCUUUGUGCGGUCUUGGUUUCGCUCCACUGCCUGCAGUGGCACCGAUCCUCACACCACCUGAGCACCACAAGAACAGAAGAAGGAAACCCACCCCCAGUGCAAGCCUGGGGAGGUUGGAUCCCGCAUAGCUCACUCUUAUUUCAGACCGUAGCCCUGCGCAGAGUGGGCCUGGCAACAGGAAGGAAACCUUGCAGGAUGCUCCUUGCACCGAGCAGCUCAUGCAGCAUUGUCACCGUGUCGUGGGGGCUUCCAGGGCACCAAAAGCACAGGUGUGUGCAUGGAAGUGAAGGGAACGUAAGCUUUCGAUGAGGAGCCGGGUUAAUGGAUACUGAAGAUGGUGGUGGUAGGGAGAAUGGUAAAGGAAAAUUCAGGAGCUGGUUUUACCUCUUUCAGUUUUGAAGGCUCCUAGGCAAAAUGGCUCAGAGCCGUCCAGCUAUGGGAAAAAAAAAAGGGAAAAAAAAAGAGAAUCCUUUUGCAUAGGUUUUGAUUUGUUGUGUUUUUUGGGGUUUUUUUUCAUGACGAUGGGAAACAGAGCGUAGCCAAACUCCUGACAUUUCAUGAGUUAUAAAUAUUGUACAAAAUUAUACUUCUGGCACCAGAAAAUGCUUUCUCCUGUUGUUCAAAGUGACUCCAGAUGCUGAUGUAUUUAGUGUACUGCGCAAGCACGCGGACCGGAAUGAAAAAGCAAAGUAAAUGAGUUUACAUUCAUCUGUCAAUACUCCUAAGGGACAGCCUGUUCAGGCUGCCAAGUCUGCUCUGCGUAUGCGUGCAUAACUUCAGCGGGCCGGAGAUUCCCACAGUGGAAUCUCCUCCAUGAGCAGGGGCGCUCUGCCGCCGCAACCUGGUGGAGGUGGUGACCGCUCCCCUUCUGAGUGUCCUCCAUCUCCUGCAGGAUUGGCAGAAAGAGCUUUCCAAAGGACCUGGGCAUUUUACGUUUUAAAUAGCUAUAUGUUUCACUGACUGCUGUCCCUCACUUGAGACAGUCCCAUGAAAAGGGAUUUUGACUGUACAAACAGCAGCAAUUUCCAUCCCAAACGCUGGAGUGAUUUGAUGCCCAUGAAAAAAAGCAAACAAGGCACAUGUGAGAGAAGAAGCUGCUGUGGCCAAUGUCCAGCAUAUGUUGGAAACACAUGGAAGAAAGAAGAAAAGAUGAGAGAAUUCAAGAGAUGAAGCGUCAAUGGAAUCGUGAAGGCUGGAAAAGACUGCUAAGUUCAUCUAGUCUUCACCAUCAGCCCAUCCCCAGAAUGCCCACUAACCCAUGUCCUUCAGUGCCAAUGAGAGAGGCAAGCGGUGAGAAAGGGCAGCCUUUGGAUGGCACAGCCAUUCAUCUCAGAGACAGUUUUUUUCCCGUGCUCUGUGAAUUUCAGUGUGACACUCAUUGAAAUGUUAACUGCCGGAAACUACCGUGGCCUUCCUCGGGUUGGUUUCUCCACCAAAGGUCAGGGCAGGCUGCCAGGACAGCUCGCCAACCGCACUGCUUUACGGAGCGGCGUUCUCAUUGACACCGCAACAGCGGUGGGCAACGGAGUGCUAGGAAAAAGUAUGCUGCUAAAGUGGGAUCACGUUUCUGGAGCAGACUACAUAGAGAAAAGGGUUAGGAAGGUUUUGUAAGGUAGAAGAGACAAAACCUGAUUUCUUCUCACCAGACUUCCAGUUGCAGGAUGUGGAUCAAAUGACUCCCGCUUAUCGCACCUCCACCCCUAAACUGAAGGAAUAAGUGCCUGAAAACUCAGCUUGUGUUACCAAAUAAAUAGCAAGAAUGUGGGAUUCCCUAUCUGUGCUGCAGGGACUGCCCUCCUUCAGCUUUCUUCUCCUUAAUAAAAAAGCUAGGGCAUCCGGUUCCUGCGCCCCACUUGGUAGCACAGCACCAGUUAACUCACAGAGCCAGUUCUUGACACGUCAGAAAAGAGCAGAUUUAAAAUUCUCUUUGCAGUCCCUGGCCUGGCACACGUGUGUUCUCACAGACUCGUCCACGACACCGCCGAACUGCAGACUUUCCCACAGGAUGCAUGCCUCAUGCUGUACAACAGGAUAAUCACGCCCAGUGGCAGAAAUAAAUUAGCAUAGCAAUCUCAAUCUGGUAUUUCCUAAUUUUCCUAAUUUCCUUCUCCUUCAGUGUUCAGCUGUGCUAAUCUAAGCAAUAUUCUUUUACAGUAAUUUCUGGACUUUGCCAUUUAAAUAUAUGUAUACGUGUUUGUGUAUCUCUCCAUCUGUCUGUGUCUGUUAAUGUAUUGGUAAACACAAAAGAAAAAGAUAAAAGCCGUUUGUUUUUAAUUCUUUCUGAACCCUUUGAUCCCUCCUUGCUUGUUUUAGCAGCUGCCCGACUGUUUUUUCUCGUAUGUAAACUUCAAAGUCACUCAGAGGUCAAAGCUUGGAUGAAGACAGACCGAGGAGAACAGCAGCGGUGAGAACACGCAGUGCGGAGAAGCCGGGGAUGUCGGUGGCAGCACAUCGCCUCCAUCGAGGUGCUGGGGAGAUGACCUACGUCUUCGACGUGGCAUGCCAUGAUCUGAGCGUCUGAUGUGGUUGUUGAGGCUUCUGUGCUCACUGGGAAAUUGUCUUGCAGAGGAGCGAAGGGCACGGCCAUGCUCUGGCGGACUUGACAUUCACUGGCUGGUCUUGGUUCAGGCAGUCUGGAAAUAGCUAAAUAGAUCACCGUGAAAAUACUGGAGAAAAACAGCUUUUUCGUGGUUUGUGUUGAAUGCAGAGGGCUUCGGGGUUGGGUGCAAGUUCGGAUAGCACUUACAAUAGCACUGAAAUUAUUUCCCACAGAUGUAUUAGCUUGCAUUUGUUGCUUCUUCCACUUCCACAGUAAAUUCCCACAGGCACUGUGGGAAGAGAGCAUCCUUCUGUAGUGCUGGGCCUCCCCACCAGGGCUAAGAAGGGUUUCAGGCUUAGGAAGUACUUGAAACGCUCCCGAUACAAGGAGCACAUCUAAUGUGUGCCUUGUUGUCCCUUGUUAACAUAACCAGAAGCCACAUUGCUCUCUGCUGCUUCUCACUCAACAACCUUUUUCUGCUGGUUCCGGGCCACUUAGCAUCAUUCUUUUCCUUAAUGAGCUUCACAUCAGUUCUCAUUUUAGCUGAGAGAAAUAAUUUUUGGGCCAGUUUCAAUGAGUUUUGCAAGAAUUAAAGUGAUACUCACUUUUUCAUUAGUGACUCUUUACCACUAACACAGCUCUGCUUACUCCUGAUUUCCGUGCCUCUACGCGUUAAUGCAAAAGCAGAGAAGAAAAAAAACAAAAACACAGCGAGAGAAAAGAAAGAAAAAGUGUUAAUGUGGGAAGAGAAAGCAAAAGUGUGAAGUGGCUCUGUGAAGAGCCACGUGGGUGCAAAGAGAAGCGACAGGGACGCAGGGAAAAGCAGCUGGAAAGCAGGAGUGUGGAGAAAAAUGAGGCUAGGAGGAGGGGUAAAGGGGAGCAGGAGUGGGAGCGGGGAGAUUAAGAAUGGUCCCAAGGGAUGGGGUAACGGGCAGGAAGGAAAGCCAAAUAAGGAGCACAGAAUCAUGUAGUUUAUGCGGUGAGAACAAGAGAUGGCCUUAACAGCAGCACUUUGCAGUGCUGGCGGACUGCAUGAUGUGUACUCAGCUUGGAGUAGCUGUCCUGGCUCUUCAGGAGGCGGCCUAGGAAAGAAGAUUAUGGCUUCAUUUGAAUCAAUUCCUAACCCGGAGUCUCUCCCUAUAAAGGAUGCUAUAAAGGAUGAGUAUCGUGUUGCACUGAAUGACAACUGGAGUGCGUUGGGGUUUGUGCAUUGUCACUGAUUCUAAUGCCUUUUGUGUUGAGCCUGCUGAAAACAAAGGUCAAGUACCAGCACAUUCUGCUUUCUGUGAGAGAUUUAAUUAAAUCCGAAGGACAAAGGCAGGGUACUGGAAACCACCACCAGUGGGAAAGAUGCUUCAUUUUGUAUUACUAUUUUUCAAUAUCAGUUUGUCCGUAGCUGCUUUGUAAUGCUGUCUUAUUUUAUUUUGGUGCGAUGACAGGAGAAUAAACAUUUAAAUAUCCAUCUGAGUCCUGCAGAUGCUACUUUCUGCAAAUAAAGCAUUUGUUCUGUACAGGCUUGGAAACAGCUGCUCAGAAACAGAGAGGAAGCGCAUGGAGAAAGAUGGGACAACUUUGGAAUGCAGUUUUGGUCCUGGCACUUCAGUGAGUGUAAAUCGUAGGGCUUGAAAUGGAC
ensembl:lncRNA